CCUACGGGAGGCAGCAGUGAGGAAUAUUGGUCAAUGGCCGAGAGGCUGAACCAGCCAAGUCGCGUGAGGGAAGACGGCCCUACGGGUUGUAAACCUCUUUUGUCGGGGAGCAAAGCGAGUCACGUGUGACUCAUUGAGAGUACCCGAAGAAAAAGCAUCGGCUAACUCCGUGCCAGCAGCCGCGGUACUACGGAGGAUGGGAGCGUUAUCCGGAUUUAGUGGGUUUAAAGGGUGCUCAGGCGGAGGUGCAAGUCAGCGGUCAAAUUGCGGGGCUCAACCCCGUACUGCCGUUGAAACUGCAUCCCUUGAGUGCGCGAGAGGUAUGCGGAAUGCGUGGUGUAGCGGUGAAAUGCAUAGAUAUCACGCAGAACACCGAUGGCGAAGGCAGUAUACCGGCGCGCAACUGACGCUCAUGCACGAAAGCGUGGGUAUCGAACAGGAUUAGAUACCCUUGUAGUC
rnacentral:rRNA from 1 species